rnacentral:ncRNA from 1 species
AAUAGAGGUGCGGCUCACAUCAGUACCGCUGCCGAGAGUCCCGUCGCUCCGAGACGCAGCAGGAAAGGGUGCGCCGCCGAAGGGGUUCGGCUGUCGGAAACCGGGCCGCCUGGGCGUCAGGCCAACAGCCUGCCGACUGUCACCGGAUUGGGUAUGCCCCGGUGGUGCGCUG